rnacentral:rRNA from 1 species
CGGAGGGAUCAUUACUGAGUUUACGCUCUAUAACCCUUUGUGAACAUACCUAUAACUGUUGCUUCGGCGGGUAGGGUCUCCGCGACCCUCCCGGCCUCCCGCCUCCGGGCGGGUCGGCGCCCGCCGGAGGAUAACCAAACUCUGAUUUAACGACGUUUCUUCUGAGUGGUACAAGCAAAUAAUCAAAACUUUUAACAACGGAUCUCUUGGUUCUGGCAUCGAUGAAGAACGCAGCGAAAUGCGAUAAGUAAUGUGAAUUGCAGAAUUCAGUGAAUCAUCGAAUCUUUGAACGCACAUUGCGCCCGCCAGCAUUCUGGCGGGCAUGCCUGUUCGAGCGUCAUUUCAACCCUCAAGCUCUGCUUGGUGUUGGGGCCCUACAGCUGAUGUAGGCCCUCAAAGGUAGUGGCGGACCCUCCCGGAGCCUCCUUUGCGUAGUAACUUUACGUCUCGCACUGGGAUCCGGAGGGACUCUUGCCGUAAAACCCCCCAAUUUUCCAAAGGUUGACCUCGGAUCAGGUAGGAAUACCCGCUGAACUUAAGCAUAUCAAUAAGCGGAGGAAAAGAAACCAACAGGGAUUGCCUCAGUAACGGCGAGUGAAGCGGCAACAGCUCAAAUUUGAAAUCUGGCCCUAGGCCCGAGUUGUAAUU